GUAACAAGGUCUCCGUUGGGGGAACCUGCGGAGGGAUCAUUACACAAAUAUGAAGGCGGGCUGGAACCUCUCGGGGUUACAGCCUUGCUGAAUUAUUCACCCUUGUCUUUUGCGUACUUCUUGUUUCCUUGGUGGGUUCGCCCACCACUAGGACAAACAUAAACCUUUUGUAAUUGCAAUCAGCGUCAGUAACAAAUUAAUAAUUACAACUUUCAACAACGGAUCUCUUGGUUCUGGCAUCGAUGAAGAACGCAGCGAAAUGCGAUAAGUAGUGUGAAUUGCAGAAUUCAGUGAAUCAUCGAAUCUUUGAACGCACAUUGCGCCCUUUGGUAUUCCAAAGGGCAUGCCUGUUCGAGCGUCAUUUGUACCCUCAAGCUUUGCUUGGUGUUGGGCGUCUUGUCUCUAGCUUUGCUGGAGACUCGCCUUAAAGUAAUUGGCAGCCGGCCUACUGGUUUCGGAGCGCAGCACAAGUCGCACUCUCUAUCAGCAAAGGUCUAGCAUCCAUUAAGCCUUUUUUUCAACUUUUGACCUCGGAUCAGGUAGGGAUACCCGCUGAACUUAUGCAUAUCAAAGGCCCGGAGGAA
rnacentral:rRNA from 1 species